GGCGGGCGCAUCCCGCCCCCUCUGUGACGCUUCUUGCUGAGAGCGGCCGCGGGCGCCCUGCCAUCGCUCAGAGCCCACCUGUGGGCACGGAAACUCACCUGGAGCCUCUGCAGACACCGCCUCAGCCUCCCCGCCCCCGGUUUUGUGAUCCUGAAUCACCCUUCGGUGUAUUCCAGCCUGGAAAGCAUUUCCUGUUCGGCGUGUUCUCCAUCAACCCGGGGCGGGCCCGUGCUGGAUUGCGUGUGUGCAGCUCGCCUGGAAGGAUCCGGGGGCAGGGAGAGAGCCGCUUGGACAAGAACGAAAGCAUUUUGAUUUAUGGGAUUGGGAGCAAGUCUGGGACAAAAUGACCCGCUUCCCGCAGAUCCCUGCAAGCAUCCCACCCCCAGAGACGGCAGGGCUCCUUCAGUUGUUUCCAAACACGGUGUCAGUCAUUGCUGCCUUCCAGACGUGGAGGCAGGGGAAGCAGAGGUUCAGGAGCGCAUACUGUAACCUAUGUAACCUUACGUUAGUUACCAGCUGUCCAGAGGAGAACGGGGGAAGAGGAGGAGGUGAGCGAAGGGCAAAAUGGAAGCAAGGAGUGAUGCCACUGCCCUGAGCUCCACCUUCUGCUGCCUGCUGCUGACUUGCUGCCAAGCAGCAUCCCUCCCCCUAACGUCCCCAUCACUGUUAACUGCACAGUCAGCCAAAGGGGCAACCACAGUGUACGCAUUUUAAAAGCAAACUGACUAUCACGUGGUGUGAGUAAAUAAACGGUAUGCUGAAUACCAGACCUUUUA